UUAUUUAAAAACUUUAUCCAAAUUUUGAAGGCAGCUGUGGCUCAGGAGGCAGACUGGUCGUCCUCGGUGCUCCUGAUCUCGGACCCGAGGUGAUCCUGAUCUUGGACCCGAGGUGUUCCUGAUCUCGGACCCGAGGUGAUCCUGAUCUCGGACCCGAGGUGCUCCUGGCGGCUCCUUUUCACGGCCGAUGAGCUGGUGGAAACUUUGCAUGGUGUCCUCAGCCACCAGGUUGUUUGUACCCAACCUGCGGCCACAGCAGUGAAGUGCAUUAAGAAAGUUCAUGUCAGAACACAGUGGGAACAGAAAGUCACUCCAUCUUCAGAACUUGAAUUGCAGGAAAAGCUGAAGUGAAGCUGAACAGGGACAAACACCGUGAACACUGUGGCCCACAGAUCAUCAGCCGGUUUGACGCUGAAGUGUUUGAGGUCGUCCACUGAUUGGAAGGUGAGUGGGUCAGUCAGCUUACAUGUCACAUGAGUUCUCGAACCCCCAACUGUCCUCAGUGACUCUUCCCUCAGUGUGUGGGUGUUGGUGUGAGUGCCUAUGAGCACGGUGUCCUCUGCCACCAGUGUGUGAAUGUGUGUGUGAAUGGGCGAAUGCUGGCUUGUGUUGUAAAGCGUUUUGGGUGGUGAGUCAGACUGGGAGAUGGACUGUGGUCUGUGAGCAAAGCCCCUUUACCAUUUAGAUCCUGCCAGGAGGUUCACAGCA